UAAUGAUGUGAUUAGUCCUUGCAAUUAGGCGUCAUUCAAAAAUUCGUCCCUGUAAUUGCUAAUCCUUGCAAUUGUUAAUCAUUUAAAAUUUGGUCCUUGGACAAACUUAAUCACUACCACGUCACUAAUUUGAUGACGUGGCAAUCACUGUCACACAUGAAAUUCCAAUUUUGCCCUUAAGAAGAGGACAAAAUAUUGAAGAAAGAAUUGGAAACCCAGGGGUAAAUUUGGAAUUUCAUGUGGCGUGGCAGUGAUUAAGUGGGGAGAGGGACGAAAUUUUAAAUGAUUAACAUACAAGGCUAAAUUGCCAGGAUUAGCAAUUACAGG
rnacentral:lncRNA from 1 species